rnacentral:rRNA from 1 species
AACGUAGGAGCCAAGCGUUAUCCGAAUUCACUGGGCGUAAAGCGCGUGCAGGCGGCCUGGUAAGUUGGAUGUGAAAUCUCCUGGCUCAACUGGGAGAGGCCGUUCAAUACUGCUGGGCUAGAGGGCGACAGAGGGAGGUGGAAUUCCGGGUGUAGUGGUGAAAUGCGUAGAUAUCCGGAGGAACACCAGAGGCGAAGGCGACCUCCUGGGUCGUACCUGACGCUCAGACGCGAAAGCUAGGGGAGCGAACGGGAUUAGAAACCCCGGUAGUCCUAGCCGUAAACGAUGUAGACUGGGUGUCGGCGGGGUAAAAGCCGUCGGUGCCGAAGCCAACGCGAUAAGUCUACCGCCUGGGGACUACGGCCGCAAGGUUAAA